rnacentral:rRNA from 1 species
UACGAAGGGGGCUAGCGUUGUUCGGAAUCACUGGGCGUAAAGCGCGUGUAGGCGGGUCUUUAAGUCAGGGGUGAAAUGCCAAGGCUCAACCUUGGAACUGCCUUUGAUACUGGAGACCUUGAGUCCGGGAGAGGUGAGUGGAAUUGCGAGUGUAGAGGUGAAAUUCGUAGAUAUUCGCAAGAACACCAGUGGCGAAGGCGGCUCACUGGCCCGGAACUGACGCUGAGACGCGAAAGCGUGGGGAGCAAACAGG